UACGUAGGGUGCGAGCGUUGUCCGGAAUUAUUGGGCGUAAAAGGGCUCGUAGGCGGUUUGUCGCGUCGGGAGUGAAAACUCAGGGCUUAACCCUGAGCCUGCUUCCGAUACGGGCAGACUAGAGGUAUGCAGGGGAGAGCGGAAUUCCUGGUGUAGCGGUGAAAUGCGCAGAUAUCAGGAGGAACACCGGUGGCGAAGGCGGUUCUCUGGGCAUUACCUGACGCUGAGGAGCGAAAGUGUGGGGAGCGAACAGG
rnacentral:rRNA from 1 species